rnacentral:rRNA from 1 species
UACGAAGGGGGCUAGCGUUGCUCGGAAUCACUGGGCGUAAAGCGCACGUAGGCGGAUUGUUAAGUCAGGGGUGAAAUCCUGGAGCUCAACUCCAGAACUGCCUUUGAUACUGGCGAUCUUGAGUCCGGGAGAGGUGAGUGGAACUGCGAGUGUAGAGGUGAAAUUCGUAGAUAUUCGCAAGAACACCAGUGGCGAAGGUGGCUCACUGGCCCGGUACUGACGCUGAGGUGCGAAAGCGUGGGGAGCAAACAGG